AAUCCUAUUUUGCUUCAUGGCGAGAUGUUGAAAGACGGGUUUCGGCUGUCACUACAAGAUGGGCCCGCGGCGCAUUAGCUAGUUGGUAGGGUAAUGGCCUACCAAGGCGACGAUGCGUAGCCGACCUGAGAGGGUGAUCGGCCACACUGGGACUGAGACACGGCCCAGACUCCUACGGGAGGCAGCAGUAGGGAAUCUUCCACAAUGGACGAAAGUCUGAUGGAGCAACGCCGCGUGAGUGAAGAAGGUUUUCGGAUCGUAAAACUCUGUUGUAAGGGAAGAACACGUACGAGAGUAACUGCUCGUACCUUGACGGUACCUUAUUAGAAAGCCACGGCUAACUACGUG
rnacentral:rRNA from 1 species